rnacentral:rRNA from 1 species
AGCGGAGCGUGUGGUUUAAUUCGUUGCUACACGAAGAACCUUACUGGGUUUGUACAUUAUAGGUUGUAGGGAACUUGAAAAGGGACCGACCCUUGGGGAGCUAUACAGGUGUUGCAUGGCUGUCGUCAGCUCGUGUCGUGAGAUGUUCGGUUAAGUCCGCUAACGAGCGCAACCCUCGUCGUAUGUUAUAUGUGUCAUACGAGACUGCCGGUAAAAAGCCGGAGGAAGGUGAGGAUGAUGUCAAGUCAGCAUGACCUUUAUAUCCAGGGCUACACACACGCUACAAUGGUCUGUACAAUGGGUAGCCAGGCCGCGAGGCGGAGCCAAUCCUGAAAGCAGGCCUCAGUUCAGAUUGCAGUCUGCAACUCGACUGCAUGAAGCCGGAGUUGCUAGUAACCGCAGGUCAGCAAUACUGCGGUGAAUACGUUCCCGGGUCUU